AGGGUUUGAUCAUGGCUCAGAAUGAACGUUGGCGGCGUGGAUUAGGCAUGCAAGUCGAGCGAGAAACUCUUUUACGAUUUCUUCGGAAUGAAUAGUUGAGUAGACAGCGGCGCAAGGGAGAGUAACGCGUGGAAGUUUACCCUGAGGAGAGGGAUAGCUGCGGGAAACUGCAAGUAAUACCUCAUAAUGUCUCCGGACCAAAUGAAUUUCGCCUCAGGAGAACUCCGCGUCCUACUAGCUUGUUGGUGGUGUAACGGACUACCAAGGCUAUGAUGGGUAGCGGGUGUGAGAGCAUGACCCGUCUCACUGGGACUGAGACACUGCCCAGACACCUACGGGUGGCUGCAGUCGAGAAUCUUCGGCAAUGGGCGAAAGCCUGACCGAGCGACGCCGCGUGCGGGAUGAAGGCCUUCGGGUUGUAAACCGCUGUCAGAGGGGAGGAAAGCUUCGGCUUGACUGAACCUCAGAGGAAGCACGGGCUAAGUUCGUGCCAGCAGCCGCGGUAACACGAACCGUGCGAACGUUAUUCGGAAUCACUGGGCUUAAAGGGUGCGUAGGCGGCUUUGCAAGUGAGGUGUGAAAUCCCUCAGCUCAACUGAGGAACUGCGCUUCAAACUGCAUAGCUAGAGGGAGACAGAGGUAAGCGGAACUGAUGGUGGAGCGGUGAAAUGCGUUGAUAUCAUC
rnacentral:rRNA from 1 species